rnacentral:rRNA from 1 species
CCCUUAGAUGUUCUGGGCUGCACGCGCGCUACACUGAUGCACUCAUCGAGUUUAUGACCUUGUCCGAUAGGAUUGGGUAAUCUUCUUAAAAUGCAUCGUGAUGGGGAUAGAUUAUUGCAAUUAUUAAUCUUCAACGAGGAAUUCCUAGUAAGCGCGAGUCAUCAGCUCGUGCUGAUUACGUCCCUGCCCUUUGUACACACCGCCCGUCGCUACUACUGAUUGGAUGUUUAAGCGAGGUUCUCGAACUGCUAGCGACUUAGCUUCGGUGAGGUCGCAGUGUGGGAAGUGAACCUAGCUUUGGUGUCUAGAGGAAGUAAAAGUCGUAACA